AGGGUGCAGGGCGGAUGCCUUGGCACUAGGAGCCGAUGAAGGACGUGAUAAGCUGCGAUAAGCUUCGGGGAGUUGCACGUAAACUUUGAUCCGAAGAUUUCCGAAUGAGGAAACUCACUUAGAGUAAUGUCUAAGUAUCAUUAAGUGAAUACAUAGCUUAAUGAGGGGAACUCAGGGAACUGAAACAUCUAAGUACCUGAAGGAAGAGAAAGAAAUUCGAUUCCGUAAGUAGCGGCGAGCGAACGCGGAUUAGCCCAAACCAAUAAAGUUUUCUUUAUUGGGGUUGCGGACAUAUCAUAACGAAGAGGUAUCGUAAUUGAAGAGGUUUGGAAAGACCCACCACAGAAGGUAAUAGUCCUGUAUGUUAAACGAGAAGACUUCAGAUAUGAUCCAGAGUACCACGGGACACGUGAAACCCUGUGGGAAGCAGGAGGGACCACCCUCCAAGGCUAAAUACUACCUAGUGACCGAUAGCGUAUAGUACCGUGAGGGAAAGGUGAAAAGAACCCCGGGAGGGGAGUGAAAUAGAACCUGAAACCCUGCACUUACAAGCUGUGGAAGCACAUUUCUUGUGUGACCGCGUACUUUUUGUAGAACGGGCCAACGAGUUACGUUAAGUAGCAAGGUUAAGCACUUAAGGUGCGGAGCCGUAGCGAAAGCGAGUUUUAACUGAGCGUUCAGUUACUUGACGUAGACCCGAAACCGGGCGACCUACCCAUGAGCAGGAUGAAGCGAAAGUAAAAUUUCGUGGAGGUCCGAACCCACGAGCGUUGAAAAGCUCGGGGAUGACUUGUGGGUAGCGGUGAAAUUCCAAUCGAGCCCGGAGAUAGCUGGUUCUCCCCGAAAUAGCUUUAGGGCUAGCCUCAAGGUGAGAGAUACGGAGGUAGAGCACUGAAUGUCCUAGGGGGUAUUGCACCUACCGAAGACUAUCAAACUCCGAAUGCCGUCAUCUUAUACUUGGGAGUCAGACUGUGGGUGAUAAGAUUCAUAGUCGAAAGGGCAACAGCCCAGAUCGUCAGCUAAGGUCCCUAAAUGUAAGUUAAGUGGUAAAGGAUGUGGGAUUGCACAGACAACCAGGAUGUUGGCUUAGAAGCAGCCACUCAUUCAAAGAGUGCGUAAUAGCUCACUGGUCGAGUGAUCCUGCGCCGAAGAUUUCCGGGGCUAAAACUUACUACCGAAGCUACGGCAUCAGUAAUGAUGGGUAGGGGAGCUUCCCAUACGGGUUGAAGCAUGACCGUAAGGACAUGUGGACAGUAUGGGAGUGAGAAUGUUGGCAUGAGUAGCGAGAUGUGGGUGAGAAUCCCACAGGCCGUAAACCCAAGGUUUCCAGGGGAAGGUUCGUCCGCCCUGGGUUAGUCGGGACCUAAGCUGAGGCCGAAAGGCGUAGGUGAUGGACAACAGGUUGAUAUUCCUGUACUACCGAUAACCGUUUGAGAGAAGGGAUGACACAGUAGGAUAAGCUAAGCACACUGUUGGUUAUGUGUGCCCAAGCAUUGAGGCAGUCAAAGCAGGCAAAUCCGCUUUGAUAAUGCUGGGAUGUGAUGGGGAGCGAAAUUUAGUAGCGAAGUAGCUGAUUUCACACUGUCAAGAAAAGUCUCUAUCGAGGUUAAAGGUACCCGUACCGCAAACCGACACAGGUGGGUGAGGAGAGUAUCCUAAGGCCAGCGAGAGAACUGUUGUUAAGGAACUCGGCAAAAUGACCCCGUAACUUAGGGAUAAGGGGUGCCACCAUCCGGUGGCCGCAGAGAAUAGGCCCAAGCGACUGUUUACCAAAAACAUAGGUUUCUGCUAAGUCGCAAGACGAUGUAUAGGAGCUGACGCCUGCCCGGUGCUGGAAGGUUAAGGGGAUCUGUUAGAGCAAUCGAAGCAGUGAACUUAAGCCCCAGUAAACGGCGGCCGUAACUAUAACGGUCCUAAGGUAGCGAAAUUCCUUGUCGGGUAAGUUCCGACCCGCACGAAAGGCGUAACGAUUUGGGCACUGUCUCAACAACAGACUCGGUGAAAUUGUAAUUCCGGUGAAGAUGCCGGAUACCUGCGACAGGACGGAAAGACCCCAUGGAGCUUUACUGUAGCUUGACAUUGGGUCUUGGUACUACAUGUACAGGAUAGGUGGGAGGCUUUGAAACCAGGACGCCAGUUUUGGCGGAGCCAUCCUUGGGAUACCACCCUUGUAGUACUGGGACUCUAACCAUAGGCCAUGAAUCUGGUCUUGGGACACUGUCAGGUGGGCAGUUUGACUGGGGCGGUCGCCUCCCAAAAGGUAACGGAGGCGCUCAAAGGUUCUCU
rnacentral:rRNA from 1 species